UGACACAUAGUACAAUGGUUAGUAUAUAUCACUACGGAUGAUAUUAUAAGAGUUCGAAUCUCUUUGUGUCAU
rnacentral:tRNA from 1 species